UCGAGCGGACCGACGGGAGCUUGCUCCCUUAGGUCAGCGGCGGACGGGUGAGUAACACGUGGGUAACCUGCCUGUAAGACUGGGAUAACUCCGGGAAACCGGGGCUAAUACCGGAUGCUUGAUUGAACCGCAUGGUUCAAUCAUAAAAGGUGGCUUUUAGCUACCACUUACAGAUGGACCCGCGGCGCAUUAGCUAGUUGGUGAGGUAACGGCUCACCAAGGCGACGAUGCGUAGCCGACCUGAGAGGGUGAUCGGCCACACUGGGACUGAGACACGGCCCAGACUCCUACGGGAGGCAGCAGUAGGGAAUCUUCCGCAAUGGACGAAAGUCUGACGGAGCAACGCCGCGUGAGUGAUGAAGGUUUUCGGAUCGUAAAACUCUGUUGUUAGGGAAGAACAAGUACCGUUCGAAUAGGGCGGUACCUUGACGGUACCUAACCAGAAAGCCACGGCUAACUACGUGCCAGCAGCCGCGGUAAUACGUAGGUGGCAAGCGUUGUCCGGAAUUAUUGGGCGUAAAGCGCGCGCAGGCGGUUUCUUAAGUCUGAUGUGAAAGCCCCCGGCUCAACCGGGGAGGGUCAUUGGAAACUGGGGGAACUUGAGUGCAGAAGAGGAGAGUGGAAUUCCACGUGUAGCGGUGAAAUGCGUAGAGAUGUGGAGGAACACCAGUGGCGAAGGCGACUCUCUGGUCUGUAACUGACGCUGAGGCGCGAAAGCGUGGGGGAGCGAACAGGAUUAGAUACCCUGGUAGUCCACGCCGUAAACGAUGAGUGCUAAGUGUUAGAGGGUUUCCGCCCUU
rnacentral:rRNA from 1 species